rnacentral:rRNA from 2 species
AGACCCGAAACCCGGUGAUCUAGCCAUGGGCAGGUUGAAGGUUGGGUAACACUAACUGGAGGACCGAACCGACUAAUGUUGAAAAAUUAGCGGAUGACCUGUGGCUGGGGGUGAAAGGCCAAUCAAACCGGGAGAUAGCUGGUUCUCCCCGAAAGCUAUUUAGGUAGCGCCUCGUGAAUUCAUCUCCGGGGGUAGAGCACUGUUUCGGCUAGGGGGCCAUCCCGGCUUACCAACCCGAUGCAAACUGCGAAUACCGGAGAAUGUUAUCACGGGAGACACACGGCGGGUGCUAACGUCCGUCGUGAAGAGGGAAACAACCCAGACCGCCAGCUAAGGUCCCAAAGUCAUGGUUAAGUGGGAAACGAUGUGGGAAGGCCCAGACAGCCAGGAUGUUGGCUUAGAAGCAGCCAUCAUUUAAAGAAAGCGUAAUAGCUCACUGGUCGAGUCGGCCUGCGCGGAAGAUGUAACGGGGCUAAACCAUGCACCGAAGCUGCGGCAGCGACGCUGAUGCGUUGUUGGGUAGGGGAGCGUUCUGUAAGC